rnacentral:rRNA from 1 species
GACGAACCGUACGAACGUUAUUCGGAAUCACUGGGCUUAAAGGGUGCGUAGGCUGCGCAGCAAGUUGGGUGUGAAAUCCCUCGGCUUAACCGAGGAACUGCGCCCAAAACUGCUGUGCUCGAGGGAGACAGAGGUGAGCGGAACUUAGGGUGGAGCGGUGAAAUGCGUUGAUAUCCAUAGGAACACCGGUGGCGAAGGCGGGUCUCUGGGCCAUUACUGACGCUGAGGAGCGAAAGCGUGGGGAGCGAACAGG